UACGGAGGGUGCAAGCGUUGUUCGGAAUUACUGGGCGUAAAGCGCGCGUAGGCGGACCUGCAAGUCGGGGGUGAAAGCCCGAGGCUUAACCUCGGAACUGCCUUCGAUACUGCGGGUCUCGAGUCCGGGAGAGGUGAGUGGAAUUCCUAGUGUAGAGGUGAAAUUCGUAGAUAUUAGGAAGAACACCAGUGGCGAAGGCGGCUCACUGGCCCGGUACUGACGCUGAGGCGCGAAAGCGUGGGGAGCAAACAGG
rnacentral:rRNA from 1 species